rnacentral:lncRNA from 1 species
AUUGAAUCUUGUGGUUGAAGUUAGGUGGUAUCUCGUGCAGAAGGGGCGCAAAUGAAUUAGUGAAGAUGGGGGAUGAGCGACUGAUGUAUGGUUCGGGUGGUCAAUCGAGUGUUAAGCGACACCUGGAAGAGAGUUGCAGUCGUCAUCCUAGAAUUCAGAAAGGUCUAAUGACUGGCCUUUUUAUUUGAGAGGACUGGUUAUGAUAACUUUCACCGGCAAGGCCGUGUGUAUUGUUGGUUAUAGUAAAUUGACUUCAGUAGGAAGAUUGUAUACUUGGGAACGAGGUGAACUCCAAACAGUACUUGCAAGAGUGUGAUAGAGACUUGGAUUUGAUGACCCUAGCAUACAAGUAUGAAGAGAAUGUAUCAUCUAUUGUGGAAUAGAUGGUUGGAUAGUGCUAUUGGGGCUUGAGAUAAAGAUGGAAAUGGUGAACCUACUCUUUAAAGCAUUCGGAUGAUAUUCCGAGAAAUUGAGUAAUGGUAAAGGCGUCGUUGUUGUGGUGUGAUUAGACUAUCACCUAGUUUUGGCGAGUCGGUCGAGCUGUACCUCAAAUAAGUUGAGAGAAUUUGUGUUUACAUAUUAGAGGCCUAGGCUGAGUUGCCUAGCGGGUGAUAUCUAAUGAAAGAUGCGAUAGUAUAGGACACUUGAGUUUAGUUGUCCGUAGAGUGUGGAUUGUGGCUCAGCCAAGAGAGUGUGUUGGCAGUAGCACGUGAGCGUUGCUAGGUGUGAAGCGUGCCAUGGAUCACUCGCGGGGCUAGUAGCUCGCACUAAGUACUUAGGAGCCGAUAGUAAUGUGGAUUGCUCGAUAGGACAUGUCGUGUGUGACGACCGUUGAGGAUGUAGCUUGAGGACGAUCCGUGCCUGGAUAAUGUGUGGACCUUAGAGCCUAAGGCCAUUCGAAUAGGCGCAGUCGGCUGUGUGUGACAGUGGCCCGAUACCUAUAGGUAGGGCAGAGAUUCUGAUCGGGGCGGUAGUCCGAGCUUAGAUCAGUGAUGUGGUGUGCCACAUAUUGGAUCGUGGGAUGAGUGAUACAUCGAGAGUGUGAAUUUGAUCCAACCUCAAGAUUGUAGGGGUUUGGAAUUUGGAUUGCUCCUAGUUGGAGUAGGUAUUUGAGACUUUACCUCAUGAUGAUUGGGUCUGCGCUUGCGAGCGAGAGACGCUGUGUGAUAUAGCGAUUGAGCUAGGCGAUAGACCUAUGUCGGAUUGGUGGCUUGUAAAUCAAUUUAUGAUAAUUGGGACAAGCGUUUAACCACUUGCUCUAGAAAUGCAAGAGUCGGUGUAGUAUUGUGAAUAGGGGGAUAGUGGCCCUAGGAGUGGGGGCUCGGUCCUACUGUUUGCCUGUUUUGAAUCGCCGAGUUAUGCGCUGUUGAGGAGUUAAGAUUAGAGGCACGAACGAAAGUGUUCAUGGAGACUCGUUGCGAGAGAUUGGUAUAAUGCAAACGUGGCUGGAAAAGUAAAAGAUUUUCUUUGAGAUUAUUGUGUAGUGGAAGCCACGUGAGAUCUUGGAGAAUUAUGCCUUCAAAUCAUUAGAGUGUGGAGAUGUUAGAAUGAGCCCUUUGUCGAGGAGUGGAAAUUUGUGGGUGAUGGAACACUCACAAUUGAGUGGUGUACUGUGAUAUCGCAGGUAGCGAUGCCAGGUGAGAAAUGAAAUAGAUUCCAUCGGAGAGUAAUGGGUAUAGUAGAUGUUACCUAAUAAGUUUGUAUAUGAAUCAAGGUAGUCUACGGACUUUUUGAGUAAGCGCCAUGCAGGAAUGAUCCCCACUGUAAGAAAAAAAAAAAAAAACAGAUAGUACUAUUCUUAGAAGUAAAGUGAUGUUUAUUGGUAUGAAUUGGUUAUCAUCUAUUGAUGAUAAGAAUGAUAACACGAGCAUGUUAAGUUGAUGGUGCGGAUAGUUGUUGAUUGUAUGAAAAGAAUGCUAAUUCUAAAGCAUGUCAUUAAGUGAGAAUUAAAUUGGCAUAAUAACCAAGGCAAAUAAGUCUUUGAUAGUAAAUGAGACUAGAGUAUAGUAAGUCAUUGAAUGUUGACUUGUAUUGCCAUUGGAAGUUAGAGAACAUAUAAUAAUCAGCAGGAAGAAUAGGGCAUAUUCUGGAUGUGCUCGAUUGAUUAUUAGGAUGAUUGGCACAAGUGGUUACCAAAAAUUGUGAGAUUAUGGUGCCCAACCUAAGGAAUUAGAGUAACCCCUAUUUACUAGGGGAUGGUGAACAUAAGAAAAUUGCUCUGGGAUGUGAAGUAUACAAGAAAAUGCACAAUGAAUUUCAAAUUGAUUGAACAGAACUCCUCAUUUGUUCCAAGGGAGAACUAUAGAAUUACUAGAGAAAAUAACUUGGAAAUAGUGUCAAUUGUGCAUUUUGGAUUUGUGUGAAUGAGGAAAGUGCAGAAUAGUAUAAUUCUGUAUAUUGGUGAGUGUUGGACCCUAUCUUCAUAUGUUUAACUGGAUGAAUGAAGAUAUGUAAGUGUAUCUAAGUUUCGCGGACGAAACUUUUGUUAACGGGGGGAGAUUGUAAUAUAUGGAAAAUUUGAGUUGCGAUGCUAACUUUCUUCUGGAAGAUCAAAGUGAAGUUUGAAUUGGAUGUGUAUCAUUCCAGAGUGUUUUGGGAUGUGUGGGAAUGAUCUCUAAAUGUAAUUGAGUAUUCGGGCACAAAUCGGGCACGAAAUAAACUUGAAAGGGGAUUUUUGGAUUAUGACGCUAACUUCGACCUACGCGAUCAAAGUGAGAUAUGAAUGUUAAUUAUAGUAACUCCGAAUUAUUUUGGAAGUGCGAGGAUAGUUAAUGGCAAAUUCGGAGAUGCUUAGAUGUAAUAUGUCGGAUUUUGGUUAUGUUGCUAAGCUUGAUCAAAUGGAUCAAAAUAAUGCCAAAAUAAAAUUGGGUUGUUUCCGAGCUUAAUUGGUAGCUUCGGCAUCGUAUUUAGUAUGUUUUGGAAGUGUUGGGAUGGACUCGGAGUGAAUUAGAUGCGCAAAAGGAGCUGAAAAUCUGCUGCUGCCAGCUGCUGUUAGUGCAGGGACUGAACUGUAAAGCUGCAAGGACUGUUGGACUGUUUUGUAAACAGAAUUACUGUUUUGUAAAGGAGAUAAUUACAGCUUUGUAGUGGGGUUUAGUUGCAGUUUUUUUUUGGUCUUAUCUACAGCCAGCUCAGCCCCAAUUGCUACGUGUUGAGAAAUCUCCUCUCCUCUCAUCUUCUUUUCGUUUCUUUCUCUCUCUCUCUAAACUCUAAGGUUGGCCGGUUGAUGGUUGAAGAAAGAAGGAUUUUGGAGCAGGGAAAAGCUUGGUAGAGCUGAAUUUCAAGGUAACUUUGAUCAAAUCCUGGUUAGAGUUGAGUUAUUUACCUUCACAGGAAGUUAGUUGGAGUUUCAUGAUAAUUAAAGUGUAUAGAAAGCUUAAGAAAGCUGUAUCAUGGACAGCACAUAGGUAUUUCCUGGAUUAGAAGUGAAAUUGAAUGAGAAACCAUGCAAUUCCUGGUUUGAGGGUUAUGUAUUUACAUUCUAAAGAGAUCUAAGCCGCAGAUUUAAGUAUUAGAGCUCUUAAUACCAUGAGAAGGCUUAAGGGAAAUUUCAGGGCAGCUUGUAUGUGGAGUUAUGUUUGUGAAUUGUAUGUUAAAGAAAGAAAUCUGCUGUGAAUGAACCUUAAUUAUUGAACAAGAGUGAUGUUAAUCACUGCAUAAAGAGGUUAAAUCAUGGAUAAUUUAGCAUAUAGGGAUUUAAUUAUGCUGAAAACUGCAUAUAUGUAUAUAUGGAUAUAUAUAUAUAUAUAUAUAUAUAUAUAUAUAUAUACACAUAGAAGGAAUGGUUAGAGUAAAAUCUAAAAUAGAUUACCUCUAAACCUAGUUAUAGAUGAUUCCCUGCUGUGUAAAGAAGUUAAGUAAAGGGUUCCUAUGAGCUGAAUUAGAGAACUAACUAGAUGUAUAUGUAUAUUGAUACUAUGCAUACAAAUUGAGUUAGUUAGCCUGGAGAAGAGUUAGAUAAAGAGUUCUUGGCUGCUAGGACUUGAAACUUGGUGAGUUGGUGGGCAGAUUAGUGUGUUUGGUCUUGUUGGAGCUGCCGAAAUGGGAAGCUCAACCUGGGAAGCUUCGAACCUGAGGUAAUUAGUUACUUCUCAGCUGUGGUGUAAUUUAAUUGCUCAUUGAGAGAGAUUCUUAGGUGAAUUAAGUCGUAGAAGCUUAAUAAACCCUGUUGGGAGCAGAUAUGUAUAUAUGAUGGUACUUAUUAAUGAUUGUUGGCAGAAGAGGAAUUGUGAGCUGCUGCCUUGAUGCAAGUUCUGGGCGCCCGAAAUUGAAAAGGAAUUGAGGAGUUGGCAGCUUGCUGCCUGAUUGUGAUGGGAGGAGCAUCCGAAUUGAGGGGCCAGUAGUUGAAUCAUUGAAAUCUGAGGUAAAAGAAAACUUAAUUACUGCUGGAAUUAAUACUUGAAGUUAUACAAGAACUACAUAGAUGUAUGUAUGUAUGUACAUGUAGGUGUAUAUGUGCAGAAUGGUAAGGAGUGAAACCUGGAAUAAGUCAAUCUUAAUUCCUGAAUUGGUAUAAUGUUAAUUGCUGUAAGGAAAUGUUAAGUGAGGAACCUUGGAAGUAUUGAAGCUUCUAAGCAUCAUGAGCUUAUAGAAUCAGCUCUAUGUUAUAUACACAUGUGUGUAUAUGUAUAACUUAGAACUAAUUGUUGGAAGACAAAGUAUGAAGUAAAGUUAUUCUAAACCUGUUAAGUGUAGAGCUACUAAGAAAAUUGAUAGUAAGACUAUGUAUAUGUUGAUAUUAUAUACAUAUAAGUAAGUUGAGGUUAAAAUGCAAGUAGAGACAGAUUGGUCUCUUUCCCUAUUUUGAACUAUAUUGAUUACUCUAUAAGAAGUUUGAGAGCAAUGGAAUUGCUGAAUGGAAUUGGUACUAGUUACUGUGUAAGAAGUUAAGUUAUAUGUAAGAUAGUUAAUGUGUGAGCUAUGAAUUAAAUUGAAGUAGAACCUGUAGCAGAAUUGUAAUGUUAACUAUUAAGAUUGAUGUUACUACUUAAAGAGAGUUAAGUAUGAGUUAUUUUAACUUCUGAAAUCUUAAUCUGCCAUAGAGAAUUUAAUAAAAGAGUAUAUGUAUAGAGGUAUUAACACUAUACCUAUAUAUAUAUAUAUAUAUAUAUAUAUAUGCAAGUUAAAGUCGAAAUGCAAAGUUGUAGAAGAUGUGAAUGUAACUUCGGUUUAAUCUCUUUUAUUCCUUUCUAAAUGAAGGUCAGACGUGCUCGGAAGUUCGAAUUGAUAUUCCGACGGACCUACGAUGCGUGAAUUAAGAAAUGCUUCGUUCUAGCCCUAUUCGCAUCGAGUCGCAUAGACUAAUGUUUGUACGGUUCGUGACGUUGGUUCUAGUCUUUGACAUCACUACAGGUGGGUGGUGCUAUCCGAAGUCUUUGAAUCACCUUUUAUGUCUAUGGUUUUCCAUUGAGCAUAUUACUUGUAUUCAUGCAUCAUAGGGUAGUGAUAUUAUGCAAGUGAUAUUUGAAUAUGUGAAUGCUUAUCAAUGUUGAGAAAAUGUGAACUUAGAAUGUGGACAUGGAACCCUAUGAAUGUAUGGACUAUAGCAAUAGUAAACUUGGGGACAUUCAACUAGAGAUUUGGUUAGCAUCAAGAAAUGGAAUUGUGAAACUAGUAUAAAGAACUAGUUAGAGUAAAGUGUGACAGUGUUUGUCAGUUGAAUCCUCUAAAGGGGGAUCAGAUCAUACUCACAUUUGUUUGGUUCAAGUGAGGUCGCUCCUCCUUGAACGAUGAGCUCCGGAGUAGUCAUCUUUACUGGACCAGGAGGUGCGUCUCCCCCAGUUGACGGUCCCGUCGGGUGCAGGUUGCGUCUACCCGAUAUUUGGGAUAGCGUCAGUGAGUUAUUGUUAACCAAAGGGUUAACCAAAAGAAUUGGGUAAUUUCAGUGAGAGCAUGCAUGCAUAUUUACAGUUUUCAUAUACUACUUCUUUCAGCUUUGCACAGGCAUUGUAGUAGUUACAUGUUAUAGCUGGUUACUAUCUGUUUACUUUUCUUGCCUACAUAUGCCUGAAUAGACCUAGUGGGUGAGUCGGCGAGGUCGGCGGCCGAACCCACUGGGAACUUUUAGUAGUUCUCACACCACUAACCAUACAGGUUCCAGCGCGAGCGGUAUGGCCGAGGAUCGCGGCAAGAGCUCAGCAGCUUAGCUAGUGGACACCCGUGUGCUAGUAGCAUACCAUUUUGAGUUCAUGUGAGAUAUUUUGAUGUACAGAGACAUGUAAAUGAAUGUAUUAAAGAGCAUGUAUAUAACUAAAUGUUUCAGUUAUUCAGUUCAGUUUAAAAGUUUUAAAUGAUAGUGCAUUUCAUUUAUAGUUAGUUACUUUCACUUGUGCUUGUAGCUUGCCCUCGUGCAAACCAUGUAUAUUGAAAUGUCAUCCUGAAAAUUGUUUAUUUCUUUAUACAUGUACUCGUUGUUGUUGAGCCUUGGGCGGACAGAGGAGGUUCUGUCCGUUCGGCGUCUGUGUACGGGCCCGGAUCGACCAAAUUGGCGAUAGCGGGAUGUGACAGAUAAAGUGGUAUCAGAGCAACGCAAGUGAAAUUAUAGGAUGGACCUAGGGACCUUAGGAUGGAAAACCAUAAGGAUCUAGCUUCGUGAGAGACGAGAAUUUUGGUAAAUGGCGAAAGGUUAAACCGAUUGGGUUAUGUGUUGUAUACCUCUAUAAAGGAUCUUAGAGGUAGAUUUAAGGAAUAGUGUAUUCUCAACAGGGAGUGUUCAUGUUGGGUGCACACAAUAUGAAACCGAGUGAUGAGAAUAGGCUUCCUUGUAUGACUUUCGCCUGAUUUGAGUCGUGUUGACGAUAGUUGUUUCGUGUUUGACCUUGAAGGUCAAGAAUCGGUCACGUUGUUACGCGUUUAGUGGUCUCGUGUAGUUGAUCUCUAAUGAGAUCGAUAUGGUUCGGGAUAAGUGGAAUCCUUGAAUUGACCGAACUUGAUGGAAACUUGAAACUUUGGGGUCUGUUAGUCACACCGUGGUAGGGUUGUGACGAUGAAAAGUCGUAGUGCAAUGUCAGCGAGAGGCUGUUGUAUAUUUGGUGGAUUGAGUCAAUGGACUCCAGAGGACGGUGGAGUAGUUGGAUAACCCUUGUGGCCUUCAGGAAAGUAUAGUCCAUCUGUUGUGGAUGAAGAAAUAUUUGUGCGUCGAGAAUCUAUGAUUUGGAGUCAGGGAAAUCUUCCAUGGAAGGAUUUGUGUAUCGAUGACAGGAUACAGAGUUGUUGUUGGAAUUAACGACAAGUGAGCUUCAAGAUAAGUCGUGGGGGCUAUAGCAGGGUGCCUGCUCGGUGAAAAGUACGUAGAAAGAUUUUCUGCAUGCUAUGUUGUGAUUAGUGCACAGUGUGAGGUAUUAGAGACAAGGCCGGUUAUAAUAUGUGGAGACUUCGAUAGAAGGAUUGUUGGAGUUGUAUACUCUCCUAGUUCACAAAUUUCUGAUGAAGUGUUGGAUUGAAUCUUGUGGUUGAAGUUAGGUGGUAUCUCGUGCAGAAGGGGCGCAAAUGAAUUAGUGAAGAUGGGGGAUGAGCGACUGAUGUAUGGUUCGGGUGGUCAAUCGAGUGUUAAGCGACACCUGGAAGAGAGUUGCAGUCGUCAUCCUAGAAUUCAGAAAGGUCUAAUGACUGGCCUUUUUAUUUGAGAGGACUGGUUAU